UUGCUAUUUCUUGGGCCGCUCCCGCGGCAUAUGGAGGUUCCCAGGCUAGGGGUCUAAUCAGAGCUGUAGCCGCUGGCCUAUGCCAAAGCCACAGCAACGCGGGAUCUGAGCCGCGUCUGCAACCUACACCACAGCUCACGGCAACGCUGGAUUCUUAACCCACUGAGCAAGGCCAGGGAUCGAACCUGCAACCUCAUAGUUCCUAGUCAUAUUCGUCAACCACUGAGCCACGAUGGGAACUCCUGUAUAGCAUAUGUUUCUUGUUCGAUGGUCUGAGCUUUGAUAAUUAUGAAAUACCACACAGAUUCCAUGCUAAGAAGAAGCAAGAUUUAAAAAGAAAAAAGAGGGAGUUCCCCUGUAGCGCAGAUGGUUAAGGACGGGUUCAAUCCCUGGCUGUGGAACUUCCACAUGCUACAGGUGCAUGCAGAAAGAAAGAAAAAGAAACAUAUUCCCUAUGCUAAGUCUAUUCUCUACCCAAUACCAUUGCCUUUUGAGGACACCAUAACACUUUUAAGUCCAUCAACAGAUGAAUGUAUAAAGACGAUGUGAGACAGAUAUGUAUGGUAUAUGUAUACGCAAUGGAAGAGUACUCAGCCAUAGAAAAAAGAAUGAAAAUUCUCCAUUUGUAGUACUAUGGAUGGACUUGGAGGGCAUUAUGCAAAGUGAAGUAAGUCAGAGAAAGACAAAUAUUGUAUGUUAUCACUUAUAAGUAGAAUCAAAAAAUCCAACAAACUAGUGAAUAUAGCAAAAAGGAAGCAGACUCACAGAUAUAGAGAACAAACGAAUGAUUACCGGGGUUAGGGGAGGAUGGCAAUAUAGGGGUAAGAGAUUAAGAGGUCAAAACUAUUAGGUAUAAAAUAAGCUACAAACAUAUACUGUACAAGACAGGGAAUACAGAAAACAUUUUAUAAUAACUAUAAAUGAGUGUAACCUUUAAAAAUUAUGAGUCACUAUAUUGUACACAUGUAACAUAAAAUACUAUAUAAACUAUACUUCAAUUUUUAAAGUAACACAAAUUUUUAAUAUUAAAUUUGAAAACACCACUAAAAAUUAAAAAUUGAAUAAAUAAAAAUUAAAUCAACUACUUAUUUUCUUCAUGAAAUUCUCUAUGGAAAACACAUGGAAAAUAUAUUUCUUCCUUCUUGAAUAUCUGAAAACCAUUUGCCAAUAAAAAUCAUAGAAAUUCUAGGAGUUCCUGUCAUGGCUCAGUGGUAACGAACCAGAGUAGUGUCCAUGAAGAUGCAAGUUCGAUCCUUGCCUCACUCGGUGAGUUAAGGAACCAGUGUUGGCAUGAGCUGUGGUGCAGGUCACAGACAUGGCUCAGAUCCCAUGUUGCUGUAGCUGUGGUGUAAGCCAGGAGCUACAGCUCCGAUUUGACGCUUAGCUGGGAACUUUGAUAUGCCACGGAAACCCUAAACAAAACAAAAAGACAACCCACAGAAUAGGAGAAAACAUUUGCAAAUGAAGUGACUGACAAGGGACUAAUUUCCAAAAUUUAUAAACACCUUCUGCAGCUCAAUACCAAAAAAACGAACAACCCCAUCAAAAAAUGGGCGGAAGAUCUAAACAGACAAUUCUCCAAAGAAGACAUGCAGAUGGCUAAAAAACACAUGAAAAGAUGUUCAAUUUCACUAAUUAUUAGAGAAAUGCAAAUCAAAACCACUAUGAGGUACCACCUCAUACCAGCCAAAAUGCCAUCAUCAAAAAAUCCAAAAACAGUAAGUGCUAGAGAGGGUGUGGAGAAAGGGAACCCCCAUACACUGUUGGUGAGAAUGUAAACUGGUACAACAACUGUGGAAAACAGUAUGGAGAUUCCUCAUAAAACUAAAAAUAGAGUUACCAUUUGAUCUAGCAAUCCCACUCCUGGAUAUCUAUCCAGAGAAAACCAUGACUCAAAAAGAUACACAUAUUCCAAUAUUCAUUGCAUUACUAUAUACAAUAGCCAAGACAUGGAAAUAACCUAAAUGUCAAUUGACAGAGGAGUGGAUAAAGAUGUGGUACAUAUACACAAUGGAAUAUUACUCAGCCAUUAGAAGGAAAGAAGUAAUGGUAUUUGCAGCAACAUAAAUGGACUUAGAAAUUAUCAUGCUAAGUGAAGUCAGUCAGACAAUGAGACACCAACAUCAAAUGCUAUCACUUACAUAUGGAAUCUUUAAAAAGAACACAAUGAACUUCUUUGCAGAACAGAUACUGACUCACAGAAUUUGAAAACUUAUGGUUUCCAAAUGAGACAAGUUGCGGGGUGGGGGGAUGACUGAGGGUUUGGGAUGGAAAUGCUAUAAAAUUGGGUUGUGAUGAUCAUUGUACAACUAUAAAUGUAAUAAAAUUCAUUGAGUAAUUUAAAAACAAAAUUAAAAGUGAAACUGAUAGAACAUCAAGUAAAGUGAUAAUUUACUUGUUACUGAACAAAGGAUAUUAGACAAUAAUAAUUAGACUCAGAGCUCCUCCUUGGAAAUUUUAUAAUUGUUCAUAUUAGACAAGAGAAAAUUCCAUGAUAGAUUCAAAUAUUCCUCUAGACAAGGAGAGCUAAAUAGUACUGUAUGGCCAUGGCCAUUUAUGUGAAUAGCCUUUCUUUGGCUUUACCCACAAGAACUCCUGUCAAGGAUUUAAGAUGACCUAACCUAAUUAUCUUGGCAGAAAAAGGCAGUUUUUCCAUCCUGUGUUUGAUAUCAUGUUUGCCUAGAUACUCUUCUUCUACAUUUCUAAGUUCCUCAGUUCAGUUUGGUGAGGUAUCUAUUCUUUGGGAUACUGCAAAAGCUUUUCCCUAGUAUGGAAGACUAUGCACGCUCGUAAAUCAUAUAACCCACAACUAGAUAAAUUUUUUUUUUCUUUUUAGAGCGGCAUGUGGAGGUUCCCAGGCUAACAGUCGAAUCGGAGGGGUAGCCGCCAGCCUACGCCACAGCCACCUCAAUGCAAGAUCCAAGACUCAUCUGCGACCUACAUCACAGCUCACAGCAACGCCAGAUCCCCAACCCACUGAGCAAGGCCAGGGAUCGAACCCACAUCUUCAUGGUUACUAGUCGGAUUCGUUUCCCCUGAGCCACGACAGGAACUCCCUAGAUUAAAAUGUUAAAUACACUAUCAGAGUUACUAACUCUAAGAGGGAAAGAACCUUCCUCCUCAAUCUUGGGCACCACAGAGUUAAUUGUGGGUUCAGUCCAGGGACCUUUGCUUUCCUGACAUUCUCAUCAUACACUUUCUCUUCUUCAGAUCCAAGCAGAUACAUGCAGAGAUCCAACACCAACCCCUUGAUCAAAACGGCUGUCAUUCUCCUGCUAGAAUGACUUUCUCCUUCUCUCUACCAAAGGGCUGGUGUGAUUUUCCUGUCAAAAAUGUCAAGUAAGUCUUUAAAUGUAUCCAUCAGUU
rnacentral:lncRNA from 1 species